rnacentral:rRNA from 1 species
UACGUAGGUGGCGAGCGUUGUUCGGAAUUACUGGGCGUAAAGGGCGCGUAGGCGGUUCGCUAAGUUGGAUGUGAAAACUCUGGGCUCAACCCAGAGCCUGCAUCCAAAACUGGCGGGCUAGAGUUCUGGAGGGGGUAGCGGAAUUCCUGGUGUAGCGGUGAAAUGCGUAGAUAUCAGGAGGAACACCGGUGGCGAAGGCGGCUACCUGGACAGAAACUGACGCUGAGGCGCGAAAGCUAGGGGAGCAAACAGG